GGCAGUUUGGCCGAGUGGUCUAAGGCGAUUGACUGUUCGUAACCCCCAAUCAUUCCAUUAACCCCCCAACAUCCACUAACUCCCAAUUUAGCGAAUUCCCGAUAUCAAUUCUCUUCGGAGGCGCAGGUUCGAAUCCUGCAGCUGUCG
rnacentral:tRNA from 1 species